GUGAGGAAUAUUGGUCAAUGGGCGGGAGCCCGAACCAGCCAAGUCGCGUGAAGGAAGAAGGAUCUAUGGUUCGUAAACUUCUUUUGCAGGGGAAUAAAGUGCAGGACGUGUCCUGUUUUGUAUGUACCCUGAGAAUAAGGAUCGGCUAACUCCGUGCCAGCAGCCGCGGUAAUACGGAGGAUCCGAGCGUUAUCCGGAUUUAUUGGGUUUAAAGGGUGCGUAGGUGGUUUGAUAAGUCAGCGGUGAAAGUUUGCAGCUUAACUGUAAAAAUGCCGUUGAAACUGUCGGACUUGAGUGUAAAUGAGGUAGGCGGAAUGCGUGGUGUAGCGGUGAAAUGCAUAGAUAUCACGCAGAACUCCGAUUGCGAAGGCAGCUUACUAAGCUACAACUGACACUGAAGCACGAAAGCGUGGGGAUCAAACAGGAUUAGAAACCCGAGUAGUCC
rnacentral:rRNA from 1 species